ensembl:snoRNA U3 Small nucleolar RNA U3
ACGUCUUUACUUUCAGGGAUCAUUUCAGUAGUUUGUUUCUAGAGAAAUGCGUUUCUAAAGUGAUUGGUCUCUCCAUCCACGAGGAAGAGUUGGAGUGUUCCUUUCUGAGCACAAAAGUGACUUCAAAUGCUGUUUUCGAGUCGUGGUUUUUUGUCAUUGAUGAUUCUCUGAUAUCUGUGAACCACAAGGAAAGGAAUACCUCUCA